ensembl:lincRNA 2900079G21Rik uncharacterized LOC110301188
AGUAAUUAUUGUUUCUCAGUGAAUGCUUUGGUUGGGUCAGUUUGGUUUGUGGCUUGCCUUUGUUGUUUGGUCGAUUUAUUUUAACUGCUAGCAAAAGGAGCCCUCGGCUUGGAGGCAGGGGUCCUCGUGCUGCCAAGGCACAGCGCUGUUGGGGAACGCGUGUCUGCGGCUGUUGGACUGUCGCCGCUCCGGACGCUUGGAGGUCGUCGCUGCUAGAGAGUCUGAUUUCGAUCUCUCUGGCUGAGUACGUCCACCUGAGGGUCCCUCUCGCAGUCCCGCCGGAGUCAGCCAGCCUCAGUGGUGCCCCCUGACCGCCCCGCCCGGCCAUGCCCUCCCACAGGGCUGGCUAGGCUCCCAGGCAGCGCCCAGCUCCUCCCCCGCCAGCCGAAGACGCGUCCAGCCGGGCGGGCACCAAGAGCACCGAAAGCAUUCCACAUGCCCGCCCCCUUCCCCCCAAUAGCUCCUGCCCAAGACCCAUGCUGGCGACCCCUCUGCGGAGGGAGAUGGCCCUGAGGGGACGCUCGGUGAUGCCCGGUCUCUGGGCCACCACGCAAAGCCGAAGCUUGAGCGCAGCCCGCACCUGCUCUGUGCGCCAGGCGCUGCCAUACCCACUGCUCUCACCACCCCUGGGCUGGAGACAAAGCGCAUGAGCCACACGCGCGGCAGCGCCGAGCAUCAUUAAUCAGAGGAAACUGGCGCGCUGCCCCGGCCCCGCCACCCUGCCUCUCCCUCCCAGCCACCAGGCGCGCCCCGGAGCCCAGCCCUUACCUACCUCCCUGGGGUACCACCUCGAGUCCUAGGGAUGUUUGGCCAGAGCUUCUGGGGUUCUGGUACUCCGCGCUCACUCUCCGAGGCCAAGUGCAGAAAACAGCCCAGGGCAGCAACACCUCACCCCACCCAAGAAAUGAUUCUCAGCUUUGAGCUCUCAGAUGCCCAGGCUUUAGAGCUGAGAGAGACUACAAGUCCUGCUGCUCAGCGAGGCUGGUCCUCUGGAUGCAAGACCGCCCAGAUCACUGCUGCCUGCCCCUCUGGGCGCUGAUGCGCUGACUGAGAGAAACCAAGCACUGCAGAGCCCAGAGGGGUAGGGCUGGGGCAGGGAGCAGAGUUGACACCUGAAGAAAUAAAAGCUCUGAUUUACCCA